GUCAACUUUAAACAUAUAUUUUCUUAGACUUUGUAGAUUUCUUAUAUUUUGUAAUUCUGGUAUUCUCUCCUCCACUCAAGACCAGAGAUUCCUUGAGAUUUGAAAAGACUCCAGAUGUGGCUCAGGCUGACCUUGAACUCAUGAUCCUACUGCAUCCUUCACUACAUCUGGCUCUAUUUUAUCUUCGGAGGACCAAGCCCUUCCCCUGGGAAAGAUGUUAACUAUAUCCUCUUCCACAUCCCUCAUGUGAAUCCACUUUUGACUGGCUAUGAAG
rnacentral:lncRNA from 1 species